UACGUAGGUGGCGAGCGUUGUCCGGAUUUACUGGGCGUAAAGAGCGCGCAGGCGGUCGUUCAAGUCGCGUGUGAAAGCCCCCGGCUCAACUGGGGAGGGUCACGCGAUACUGAUCGACUCGAAGGCAGGAGAGGGAAGCGGAAUUCCCGGUGUAGUGGUGAAAUGCGUAGAUAUCGGGAGGAACACCAGUGGCGAAGGCGGCUUUCUGGCCUGUUCUUGACGCUGAGGCGCGAAAGCUAGGGUAGCAAACGGG
rnacentral:rRNA from 1 species